CUGCUCUCGGGGUCGCACUUGGAGAGUUUCCAGUACUCUACCAAUUGCGACUACAGGAGGGAGAGUCAAGCAGAGGCCUACCCAUUCCAUUCUUAGUUUGGGCAGUGGCUAGCGAGUGGAAGGUAAUCAGCUGCAAGU